AUUGAACGCUGGCGGCAUGCCUUACACAUGCAAGUCGAACGGCAGCGCGGGGCAACCUGGCGGCGAGUGGCGAACGGGUGAGUAAUAUAUCGGAACGUACCCUGGAGUGGGGGAUAACGUAGCGAAAGUUACGCUAAUACCGCAUACGAUCUAAGGAUGAAAGUGGGGGAUCGCAAGACCUCAUGCUCCUGGAGCGGCCGAUAUCUGAUUAGCUAGUUGGGGGGUAAAGGCCUACCAAGGCAUCGAUCAGUAGCUGGUCUGAGAGGACGACCAGCCACACUGGAACUGAGACACGGUCCAGACUCCUACGGGAGGCAGCAGUGGGGAAUUUUGGACAAUGGGCGAAAGCCUGAUCCAGCAAUGCCGCGUGAGUGAAGAA
rnacentral:rRNA from 1 species